rnacentral:rRNA from 1 species
UACGGAGGGUGCAAGCGUUAUCCCGGAUUCACUGGGUUUAAAGGGAGCGUAGGUGGGGUGGUAAGUCAGUGGUGAAAUCUCCGGGCUUAACUCGGAAACUGCCGUUGAUACUAUCAUUCUUGAAUAUUGUGGAGGUAAGCGGAAUAUGUCAUGUAGCGGUGAAAUGCUUAGAUAUGACAUAGAACACCGAUAGCGAAGGCAGCUUGCUACACAAUUAUUGACACUGA